UACGUAGGGUGCAAGCGUUGUCCGGAAUUAUUGGGCGUAAAGAGCGUGUAGGCGGCCCGAUUAGUCCGCUGUGAAAGUCCAGGGCUCAACCCUGGAAUGCCGGUGGAUACUGUCGGGCUAGAGUCCGGAAGGGGCGAGUGGAAUUCCUGGUGUAGCGGUGAAAUGCGCAGAUAUCAGGAGGAACACCAAUAGCGAAGGCAGCUCGCUGGGACGGUACUGACGCUAAGGCGCGAAAGCGUGGGGAGCGAACAGG
rnacentral:rRNA from 1 species